UACGGGGGGGGCAAGCGUUGUUCGGAAUUACUGGGCGUAAAGCGUGCGUAGUCGGUAUUGAGAGUCGCGGGUGAAAUCCCCGGGCUCAACCUGGGAAUGGCAUUGGUGACUGUACGGCUAGAGUGUGUCAGAGGGGGGUAGAAUUCCACGUGUAGCAGUGAAAUGCGUAGAGAUGUGGAGGAAUACCGAUGGCGAAGGCAGCCCCCUGGGAUAACACUGACGCUCAUGCACGAAAGCGUGGGGAGCAAACAGG
rnacentral:rRNA from 1 species